GAGGAGUUGAGUUGUUGCUGGCCUCUGGGGAUUAGUUUCUCCAAGGCAUGUGCACACCUUCUCUUUCAUCCACACACCCCUGUGCACUUGUGAGACAGUAAGGUUUCUUUUUUUGGGGGGCCUUGCUGUCUACUUAAUCUACACACACUCUAUUUAUUUUAAAACGAAUGUAAUUGAUGUAACGCAUCUAAUACUAAGUUUCAACAACGGAUCUCUUGGCUCUCGCAUCGAUGAAGAACGCAGCGAAAUGCGAUAAGUAAUGUGAAUUGCAGAAUUCAGUGAAUCAUCGAAUCUUUGAACGCACCUUGCGCUCCUUGGUAUUCCUUGGAGCAUGCCUGUUUGAGUAUCAUGAAAUCUUCAAAGUAAACCUUUUUUGUUAAUUCAAUUUAGGUCUCUUACUUUGGUCUUGGAGGUUAUUGCAGCUUCACACCUGCUCCUCUUUGUGCAUUAGCUGGAUCUCAGUGUUAUGCUUGGUUCCACUCAGCGUGAUAAGUUAUCUAUCGCUGAGGACACUGGUAAAAAGGUGGCCAAGGUAAACGCAGAUGAACCGCUUCCAAUAGUCCAUUGACUUGGACAAUUAUUUAUGAUCUGAUCUCAAAUCAGUAGACUACCCGCUGAACUUAA
rnacentral:rRNA from 1 species